rnacentral:SRP_RNA from 13 species
CGCCAGGAGCGGAAGGAACUGCAACGCCAGGCUCGCCGUCGUGUGCGGGGUGAGCCUG